AUGGAAUGAGAGAAGGGUGCAGAAGCUGCCAAUGUAACUGGUCCUGGGAGGGUGCCAGUGAAGGGCAGCCGCUAUGCCCAAACUGACGUAGGUUCCACAGAUUCAUCCCCCAGCCUCGCCCAGCUGCCCCACCACCCAUGGUGGCAGAGGCUCCCUCAGAGGGGACAGAACCUGGGAGUGAAGGGGAGCAGGCUGAAGACUCUGGGCAGUGGUCCAGAAGAUGGCGCCCACCACCCUUCUUCUACCAAUGGCAGUUUGUGGGAGGCCCUCGGCCCCCCAAUCAACAACAGCCUGUAGAGGGCACUGAUGGGUUAGAACCCAAAGAGACAGUCCCACUGGAGGUGGACCAACAGCAAGGAGAUGACCGGGUUCCUCCACCCAGAUUCAGCCCAGGUACCAAAGGCCUUUCCACCCCAGGCCAUCCCAACAGCCAACCACAGAAGGUGGGGAUGGUGAGACCAAGCGCAGUCAAGGCCCUACUGAUGGUUCCCAGCCUAAGCCCCAGUGCCCACGAAACCGUCCUUACUUCCAGUGGCAACGGCAGCAGCCUCUUGGCCCCCAGCAGCCCACAGUACCAGAGACCUCAGCCCCCAUCAAUAGUGGGGACCCUCCCCCCACCAUACUGGAGUGAUUUCACCUCAAAGGACACCCAGAACUACCAUCUGGUAUCUGCCAGUUUUUCCAACCAACCUGUACCCUACCAAGCACCCCCCUUUCCUAUAAUUCAUGACAUCAAAACACCGGCUUUCCCCCUUUUCCUUGAGACUCAGGAGGGCCACAGCAACAGCCUUUUGCUUUUUAUUUUUUUUUCCACUUCCCUAUCAAGGGUUGAAGGAAGGACAUCAUCCUUAUUGUUCACAGGCACCAACUCCCUCCCCUAGAUCAGGCUGAGAAGGAACCAGCCAGCUUAUACCUCCUCCUGGUUGUUUUUCUUUCCCACCCAGUUUAUUUUUUGUUUCCCUUCAACCCCCUACCUCUGAAGCCAUUUUAUGAACUGUCAUGUGCCACCUGAGCCUCCAAUAAAAACAAAAAACAGGCAAAA